rnacentral:rRNA from 1 species
GACGAACGCUGGCGGCGUGCUUAACACAUGCAAGUCGAACGAUGAAGAAGAGCUUGCUCUUCGGAUUAGUGGCGAACGGGUGAGUAACACGUGACUAACCUGCCCCUUUCUCUGGGAUAACGCUCCGAAAGGAGUGGUAAUACCGGAUACUCACAUCGAGGCACAUGCCUUGAUGUGGAAAGUUUUUCGGAAAGGGAUGGAGUCGCGGCCUAUCAGCGUGUUGGUGAGGUAACGGCUCACCACGGCGACGACGGGUAGCCGGCCUGAGAGGGGAACCGGCCACACUGGGACUGAGACACGGCCCAGACUCCUACGGGAGGCAGCAGUGGGGAAUAUUGCACAAUGGGCGAAAGCCUGAUGCAGCGACGCCGCGUGAGGGAUGAAGGUCUUCGGAUUGUAAACCUCUUUCAGUAGGGACGAAGCGAAAGUGACGGUACCUAAAGAAGAAGCACCGGCUAACUACGUGCCAGUCGCCGCGGUAA